AUAAUAAUGUAAAGACACAAACAUGAAUCAACAGAAAUGAUUGGAAAUGAGCAUAAGCCCCGUACAGUCUGCCAUGCUGGUUUGUUUACAUCUAACUACCACAAUUCCUUGCCCUCAGGCAGUUUGGUGUGACUUGCCUGGAACGCUACAAAGUCAUGAGUCAUGGCUU